GAGUAAUGUCUGGGAAACUGCCUGAUGGAGGGGGAUAACUACUGGAAACGGUGGCUAAUACCGCAUAACGUCGCAAGACCAAAGAGGGGGACCUUCGGGCCUCUUGCCAUCAGAUGUGCCCAGAUGGGAUUAGCUUGUUGGUGAGGUAACGGCUCACCAAGGCGACGAUCCCUAGCUGGUCUGAGAGGAUGACCAGCCACACUGGAACUGAGACACGGUCCAGACUCCUACGGGAGGCAGCAGUGGGGAAUAUUGCACAAUGGGCGCAAGCCUGAUGCAGCCAUGCCGCGUGUAUGAAGAAGGCCUUCGGGUUGUAAAGUACUUUCAGCGGGGAGGAAGGUGUUGUGGUUAAUAACCGCAGCAAUUGACGUUACCCGCAGAAGAAGCACCGGCUAACUCCGUGCCAGCAGCCGCGGUAAUACGGAGGGUGCAAGCGUUAAUCGGAAUUACUGGGCGUAAAGCGCACGCAGGCGGUCUG
rnacentral:rRNA from 2 species